AGUGAACGCUGGCGGUAUGCCUAACACAUGCAAGUCGAACGGCAGCACAGUAAGUGCUUGCUCUUACCGGUGGGGAGUGGGGUGCGGGUGAGAAAUACAUCUGAAUCUACUUUGUCGUGGGGGCUACCGAAGGGAAACUUACGCUAAUACCGAAUUCGACCUACGGGUGGAAGCCGGGGAUCUUUGGAGCUUUCGCGAUUGACUGAGCCGAUGUCGGAUUAGGGUGUUGGCGGGGUCAAGGCCUACCAAGGCGACGAUCCGUAGCUGGUCUGAGAGGAUGACCAGCCACACUGGGACUGAGACACGGCCCAGACUCCUACGGGAGGCAGCAGUGGGGAAUUUUGGACAAUGGGCGAAAGCCUGAUCCAGCAAUGCCGCGUGUGUGAAGAAGGCCUUCGGGUUGUAAAGCACUUUUGUCGGGAAAGAAAUCCUUGGCCCUAAUACGGUCGGGGGAUGACGGUACCGGAAGAAUAAGCACCGGCUAACUACGUG
rnacentral:rRNA from 1 species